AUUGAACGCUGGCGGCAGGCCUAACACAUGCAAGUCGAGCGGAUGAAGGGAGCUUGCUCCUGGAUUCAGCGGCGGACGGGUGAGUAAUGCCUAGGAAUCUGCCUGGUAGUGUGGGAUAACGUCCGGAAACGGGCGCUAAUACCGCAUACGUCCUGAGGGAGAAAGGGGGGGAUCUUCGGACCUCACGCUAUCAGAUGAGCCUAGGACGGAUUAGCUAGUUGGUGGGGUAAAGGCCUACCAAGGCGACGAUCCGUAACUGGUCUGAGAGGAUGAUCAGUCACACUGGAACUGAGACACGGUCCAGACUCCUACGGGAGGCAGCAGUGGGGAAUAUUGGACAAUGGGCGAAAGCCUGAUCCAGCCAUGCCGCGUGUGUGAAGAAGGUCUUCGGAUUGUAAAGCUCUUUAAUUUGGGAGGAAGGGCAGUAAGUUAAUACCUUGCUGUUUUGACGUUACCAACAGAAUAAGCACCGGCUAACUUCGUG
rnacentral:rRNA from 1 species